AACGGCGUCCUGUCCUCAGUUCCCUACCUGGCCACGAUCUGCACACAGAUUUUUGCUGGACACGCCGCAGACUUCCUACGUCAGAGAUACCUGAGCACAACACACACUCGCAGGCUCUUCCAGACUGUGUCGUUCCUGGGUUCGGCCGCCUGUAUCGUUGCCGUGGGCUUCACAGACUGUGAGAGACGUGCUAUAGCCGUGGUCCUUCUUUGUGUUGCAAUAGCCUUAGAAGGGCUGUGCUAUGCUGGAUUCAUGGUAAAUCACAUGGACUUUGCACCUCGAUACGCCGGAGUUCUAUACGCAAUCACGAACUUUUUUGGCGCAAUAGCCAGCCUUCUGGCGCCAACUGUCAUCGGAGUGCUUACAACAAACAAAACUCAGCUGGAAUGGCGCAAUGUGUUCUACGUGUGUGGGGUCUUCAUGGUCAUCGGCACCAUUGUCUUUGGUGGGUUUGCGGCCGGGGAGGUGGAGACUUGGGCCGUCGAGGCUCACGAGGAUGACCCUAAGUCGGAGACACCGGACAUCUCGGACGGAAAACUAAGCAAAAACAUCUACUAGAUUGUUUACAACUUUUUAAAAACAGAACAACCUCGUGAAGGUGAAAGAUUGUAAAGAAUAAGGGAAUGGUAUGUAAAAGCCUAAUAUUUGGUAUCAAACCAUAAGUAAAAGAGCAACUUGAUGUAUACAAAUCCCAAUUAAAAGUAAAACGGGGAAAAUAUUGUCUAAAAUCUAAUUUUUCCUUUUGAGAUAUGAAUGAUAAGUAAAAAUACAAAUUAUUGCCUAAUACUAAUACAAUCUCUUGACAUGUAAUUUGUCGUUCGAAUUGAGGAGUGUAAAAAACAUACAUGUUAAAUGUAACGAUAAGUAAAAUACAAUUAACUUUAAGUUGAACAAUUAACUGUUCCAUUUUUAACGUGCUAUCGUGCUUGCAUUGUGGCAAAGGGUUUUGUCUGUGAAUUCAGUCCAAUUUGUGACUGCGCGAGCUUGAUACUUGAUGCUAUAUUUUACAGACUAACCUUUGACGUAAAUCGCUUAAUUGAAACUAUUGAAUUCUAGAUGAAAAAAAAAACAACUAAAGUUAUGGAAAAAGCGAAACUGAAUCGCCCCGGAUCAACGCCAUUAACCGAUAAUAAUAUUCGGCUCAAAGGGAAAAUGUUUAACGACUUUGACCGGUGUGACAGAAACUCCUUAAGUCGAAGACAGGAGUUGGUGAAUGAGAGCACUUGGUUGCAGCUCGUGACCUGCGAAGAGACUUGACUUUCUAAUGAAGUAAAAUAAAAUUAUUCUGUCACUUUUGAAAAUUUCGCCUCCAUUAAUUAUUUUGUUUCAUUACCGUAUGAUGAAUUUGAAUAUGAUCGGGUUUGAUAUUUUGUUGAGUUUCGUUUCCUAUGUAGUUUUGUUAUUACUGUCCCAAAGCGUUUUUAAAGUUUUUAUUCUGU